UCUGACUCUGGCCCCGGGCCCCGGUUACUGUGGUCUCCGCGCCGGCAGGUGGCGACGUGAGCGCGCCGGCGCUCGUGCUCGAGGAAGACCGUUGCUGUAGUAACGCGGACGUGCGCGCGCCUGAUGAUAAACAUUGAAUAUCUGCGUCAGUGGAGAUGACGAGGUGUUUGAGUCUGUGUUGAUGUGUUUGUGAGUGAUGAAGAUGAUGAUGAUGAAGAUGUGAAGGUGGGAUGUCUGCGUUAAAGAGUCUGGUUCCUGCGCGUUUCCUCACGCUCGCCGCUCACCUGGUCAUCGUUAUCACCAUCUUCUGGUCACGGGACAAUAACAUCCAGUCAUGUCUGCCGCUGGAAUUCACUGAAGAACAGUUCAAAACAGAAGACACACGGCUGCUGGUGGCUCUGUCUGUGACUCUGGGGCUGUUUGUGAUUGAACUGGCUGGGUUUCUCUCUGGAGUCUCCAUGUUCAGCAGUAACCAGGCCCUGCUGUCUCUGAUCUCUCACUCCAGCGCCUGCGUCAGUCUGUCCUGCUUUGUUUUCCAGCAGUGGCCCUGCUGGACGUACUGGAUCAUAUUCAGCUUCUGCAGUGUGAUUCCAGCUCUCUUUGAGUUCUUUCUGCUGGUUUCGCUGCAGUCGAUGUGAGUGAUUCUUCAUCUGAGGACUGGAGGAUGUGAAGAAGACACUGGUUCUGUCGGAUCAUGAUUUCACAGUGUCUUGUGCAGAUAGAGACGAGCUCUGCUGGAGAAAUAGAGAGAUUUAAUGAUUGGCACAUCCCUGGCCCAAUGAGCGUUCGUGUCCAUGGGCCAAUCAGCGGGGAGUUUUGAGCGUCUCGGCCAAUAGAAAUGCAGCUGGUGUUCAGUUUAAAUCCAGGCGGUUGAAAAAGAGCGAAAC